UUUUUUUUUUUUUUUCUUUUUUUUGCCAAAGCCCCGUGGAGCAGAGGCCUCCCAGGCCCCAGAGGGAGAUGACCUCAGCCUCGGCUUUCUCUUCUGAGAGGCUGCUCCUUCUGUCUCUGAGCUGUGGCCCUCUGCACUGGGCUCUGGUGGGGAAGGUGCACUUUUAAGGCUCCAGGUAUUUUUAAUCACUGUGUGUUUAUGGGACCUGGAACAGGGCACGCAGCUCUGUGGUGAAUUUUUUUCUUUUCCUGCAUCAUCUGUUGGGCAGGGGUUCCAGGUUGUGUAUAUUUAUGGAAGAGCCUAGUGGAUUCGGAGAAGACAGUGACACACUGACCUUCCCUGGGGGCCCAGAGGCUUUUCCUUUCUGCUCCUCCCAGACUGUUGCCCUGUACCCAGGACACCUUCUGGGGGGAUCACUGAGCUAUGCAAAGAAGAGAGGACGUGGCGGCAGAGCCUGGCAAGCACUGGCUUCUAACCUGGAGGGGUCACCCCACUCCUGCAAGUAUGCCCAAAAUGUCCCUUGUGGCACAUCUAUGCCUUCUUCAGCCUGGGAACCUGCUAAGCCCGGGGCUACAGAAGGAGGGAACUGAGAGACAGAGGUGCCACCACAGCCCCUGCCAUGUGGGAUCACCCAGCAAAUACCCAUCAAGUAAACAAUAACUCCUGGCUGAUGUGGAUGGCCUGUGGCUGACUCUGUGUGUGUGUUUUUCUUUUCCUUCCAGCCCCAGCUACAGCCCAGUGGCCCCCAGAGAAAUGUCAGGGAGCAGCUGUGUGGGCCUUAGAAGCUGGGCUGCACAUGACUGACCUCCUCCCGCCCCGGGCCUGCGGGGUGCUUUUGCAGGGUGCUUACCAGUCUGGGCACAGCCGAGAGCUGUGCCAGUAAUCCUGCUGCUGGCAGACAGGUGUGAAAAGAACAGAAAGCAGACAUCAGUGUCUGCUGAUUUAAUUUUUGCUCUCAGAGCAGCCAGGAUUGGAUCUGGAAAGCUCCUAAUGGCAAGCCUGUCCCUGGAACAAGAGUAGACGCUGUGAGAUUUACAAAGGAGGCUGACAGGCUGAGGCUGACAGGAACCAACCAGUCGGGGCAGAAUCCACUGGAUUUGGCUUCCUUUUCUUUCCUUCCGCAGGAGUUGCGGCUAGAACUCAGAAGAGCUCCACUGCUGGCCCUGAGGAGCCUGAAGCAAUAAUCAGAGUAGGACACAACUGGGCAUCCCUUCAAGGGAAGCUGAGCUGUGCAUCGCAAUGGCCAAAAAGUGCGUGUCCUUUUUAUUUAUUCAUGCAACAAACAUUUAUUAUUCAUUCACUCCACAAACAUUUAGUAAGCACUUAUUGUUUGCCUAUUGUUCCUCCCCUGGGGACACAGGAAGAAUUGGUCAAACGCCCACAGAACUUCACAGAACUUUUGUCCUGUUACCCUUCAGCAGGGGCUUGUGCCUGCCCCUGAGUUUAUGGAGCAGAAGAAGACUUUAUAGCCACUGUGUCUCCUUGAGCAUUGUGUAGAAUUUGAACCCAGGCCCAAGGUGGCUCCAGAGAUGGACCUGGAAGACCCCAGUGAAGAGGUGCGGUCCUGCGAGCAUCUUCUCAGGCAAUCUUGGCUGUCCCAGGUGGGAUUUUCUGAUGUCCUGUGUUUAGCAGGGGAAAGGCAGACCAUGCACCUGUAAGGACUGUCCAUGACUUCAGACCCUCUCAGGGGCAUGGGAGGAAAAGCAUGGGAUCAUUUCCCAGAGAGUUUGGUGGUGAGGAUGAGCUAACAAGAGUAGCAACCUUUCUAUGUGGAUGUGAGCUGUUGAGUCUGCAGCCCAAGUCCAAGUUCUUUGCAGAGGCUCACCUGGCCCACCCUGCUCCAGCUACACAGCUCUCCCACCUCCACCUUCCACCCAGCCAAUGCAUGCAGUCCCACCCAACAUCCUUCACGGCCAUGGUGCUGCUUCUCUUUCCUCACAGAGGAGCUCCUAAAGCCGUUCGUGUAGUUUGGCUGAGGCUA
rnacentral:lncRNA from 1 species